UAGGCUAUUUACAAUGUUAUUCGGUGCACCA
rnacentral:piRNA from 1 species